UUAAACAACCCUUGUUUGCGUCAUCCAGGAAUUAUUGAUGAUUAAGAUAUUCGAAAGAUUAGUAAAGAACAUUUCUUAAAUUUUACAAUUUCUUUAUGUACUAUUAUUUCAUGGUAAAAGUAAUGUGGAUGAGUUUAUUUGAGAGAAGGCUGUAAUUUUGCGGUGGUACUUAAUCCAAAAUGGAACUUGCUUGUUCGGUAGUGUCACGUUGCUCCUGGACAGGAACACAAAGCAUGAAAGGUAUUUUUGGGGAAUUUAAAGUUUUCCUCAAUUAAUGUAUUUAUCUCAUUGUUUAGGCAUGUGGUAUGUUAUGUGGGCAGAAAGCUAAUUAAUGAGUGUUUAAUUGGCCAAAUGUCUUAACACAGAAAACAUGAAAAUUAUUGCAGAAAAAGUACCCAGAUAAAAUGACCAUGGAAGGCUUGCCAUUUAUUUGUGGAUACAAAUCUACUUGGCAGAACUUAAAUUGGCUGAAGAAUGAUGACUUUAGGAACCAAAAUCAACUGCAAGAGGAAGAGAAACCGUGGAGGACUUGCUGGUAUCGGCCGACGGGGAUAAAACUAAGGUCUUAACUUGGUACUAAUAGAUGGCAUGACAUUUCUCGGAAUGACAUCUAUCUCCUCAAGAGGCGCUAAAGACAGUUGUACGUCAGGUGGCGUUCAAGUACAACCACCCAAAUCCUGGCGUAAUACCAGUCGUAAGCGAGGCACUCGGAUCAAUUGGAUCCGUGUUUUGUGGGGUAGGUGAUUAGUUUCGUACUUCGGGAGUUGGAUUGGUAUUCGGAUAUCAAGAAAUUUCUCAGGUUUUAAGAACGCGUCUACCAUACACGUUUUACAACCAGAUAUGGAUAAAGUUUCAUGCCUGUUGCAUCACAUGUACGCUUUAUCCCAUGGUACUUGUCAUGUGGUCUGCAGUUGUAUCCGGUGGUAUUUGUUGCAUACAGCCAUUUGAAAUGUGAAGAUGCUUGCUUUGGAUAAAUGCAUUUAGUAGAAUGUGCUUGAUGAUAAAUGUGCUUCUGAAGUGGCUCAAGCUACUGAAUUUCUAACUUCAAUGAGCUUGAAACAGAACCUAUUACAAUGAAUCUUAUUUCCAACAAAAUAGUUCCUUGCAGUGAUUUAUGCCAUAUUGAAAAUGUGAUCGAAUUUUUUGCUGAUCCAGCGACCCUGUAUUGCUUCUACAGGAUAACAAACUACCAUUGAUGAUUAAUUGGGGGACUAUCAGUUCCUUUCACAUCCAGGGCAACCGUAUGCAAGAAAAAAAGCAUUUUCUUGUAAUGCUUAAUUUUUUAUUUAAAAAAUAUAGUACUAUGUACAGCAAAGCAAUUGAGUAAAUAGCAAAAGUCCAAUAC